GUCCACGCUGUAACGAUGAGCACUAGGUGUGGGAGGGUUCAGUCCCUUCCGUGCCGCAGCUAACGCAUUAAGUGCUCCGCCUGGGAGUACGGCCGCAAGGUUGAACUCAAGGAAUUGACGGGGCCCGGCACAAGCGGUGGAGCAUGUGGUUCAAUUCGAUGCAGAGCGAAGAACCUUACCUGGGCUUGACAUGCAGGAAGUAGAACCGGAAACGGCGACGACCUGUUAAGUCAGGAACCUGCACAGGUGGUGCAUGGCUGUCGU
rnacentral:rRNA from 1 species